rnacentral:rRNA from 1 species
CUCGUAGGCGGUUCGUCGCGUCCGGUGUGAAAGUCCAUCGCUUAACGGUGGAUCUGCGCCGGGUACGGGCGGGUUGGAGUGCGGUAGGGGAGACUGGAGUUCCCGGUGUAACGGUGGAAUGUGUAGAUAUCGGGAAGAACACCAAUGGCGAAGGCAGGUCUCUGGGCCGUUACUGACGCUGAGGAGCGAAAGCGUGGGGAGCGAACA